GCGCCCGCGCCGGCCCGGCUCCCGCCCGCAACUCGGCGCAACUUUCCCGCGGGCAGGCGGGCACCCUCGCCGCCGGCCCGCUCCCCGCGCGCCCCGGGCCCGCACGGACCUUGCGGUUGCUGGAGGUGCCUCCGGGACGCGGCCGCAGCCCCGCGCCCGGCGGCCCGAGCAGGGCCGGGCUGGGGCUCCGGCUCCGGGCUCGGGCUCCCGCUUGGUGCGGAGCCGCGCGCAAACCUUCCGGGUCGCCUGCUGUUCACUUCUGGGUUCUGCAAGCGCCGAGGCGGCGGCGGCGGUGGCGGCGGCGGCGGGAGGCUGGGUCUGCGGCGUCGCGCGGCCCCCCGUGCGCUCCGCGAGCCACUGCGCCAGGCGCCCGGCUCCGGGUUGGGGGGCCGCGUUGGGCCCCCGCCUCUCCGGCUGCACAGCCCGUCCGGCCCCGGGGCUUCGGAGGAGCCGGCUGCCCCUUUCUCUGGAGGAUUUCUGUACGCACAGAGCCACCCAGUUUCUAGGCCUAGAUGAAUCAGAGCUUGUCCUGCCCUCAGGGAGCAUCCAGUCCCUGGGCAAGGACAAACACAGAAACAAUCAUCUGUCUUUUAGGAAGCAUUCCAACUCAGUAAAUAUUUACUGAGUAAAUAUUACCUGCUGCACUCCAGACACUGUGAUUGACUGGGAGCACAGCCGUGAACAAGUUGGACCAAGCUCCUGCCUGCAUGGAGAGUCCAGUCUAGCAGAUUGGCAAAUGCUGGCGGGCAACUGGAGGACAGUACUCAAAGAGGCUGUUUGUUCCCUGGCCCCAAGCGCAGUGCACUCCCUGCAGGGGCAGAAGCACUGUAUAUGUGGCAUGAAAUAGAAUUACAAGGCGCAAGGCACAGAGGGAGAACACAGACGCUAUUACUCCUAGAAGGGUGGGAAGGAUUUUCAGAAAGUGGCUGUGGGGUGAGACAGGUAGGGAAGAAAGGCCUUCCAGCUCCAGAAAUGAGAGUGAUGAAAGUACCAACUCAUGGAGUAGUCUCCCAACAUGAUACAUCAAUAAUGGGGAUGGGGGGGAUUCUCUUCUGCGCAGGUGUGGGCUGUGCCUAGUACUUCCGUCCAUAGAGCAUGGCAGGGCAAAGGAGGGAGAAGAAGGACUUUACAGUGGAAAUGCUGAUGACUACUGCCCCAUCCAAGUGACAAAGGCCAUCUACAAUCAUGAAUCAUGUCAGUAGUAUGAACAAUUGAUAUUAUGUGAUAAAAAUGGCACUUUUGGGUCUUCCUCACAGUAACCCAGAAGCCCAGGCUUGUCGUGGGAAACACAAUAGUGAAGCAUCCAACAAAAUACCUGACUGGUACCCUUCAAAACUGUCAAGAUCAUCAAAAACAAGGAAAGUCUGAGAAAGUAUCACAGCCCAGAGGAGCUUGAAGAGACAUGACAACUAAAUGUAAUGUGGUAUCCUAGAUGCAAUACUGGAAAUUAGUUUUAAAGGGCAUUUUAAAAAACUAAAGAAAUUUCAAUAAAUUAUAGACUUUAGUAUAUUAAUAAAACUGUCCAUCAAUAAUUGUAAUAGAUUACUAAUAAAGAAAAUGCUAGGAGAGGAUACAGGGGAACCCUCUGAGAUGUCUUCAAAAUCUUUCUGUGAAUCUAAAAAUAUCCUAAAGCACUGGCUUGAUGGCACAUGUCUGUAAUUCCAACAUGGGAGGCUGAGGCAGGGACUGCUUCAAGUUAAAAGCCAGCCUGGGCUACAUAAUGAGUUCAAGGCCAGCCUGUACUAUAUAAACCUGUCUAAAAAAUCACCCCCCAAAGAAAAUCCUAAAACAUAGUCUAUUAAAAAGAAAAAAUCUUUUAAAAGUAUAUUAACUGUGGCAUCGUUGAUAGGCUCAAUAAAAUAAUGUUCAUCACAGCACCUGACGUUCUAAGGGUUAUCAAGUUAUGUUAUCACCACUGUCAUCGGUACUUAGAGGGGUUUAGGGGGAGAGGGAGAGGGAGAGGAAGACAGACUCCUCAUGGCCUUGGCUGCUGGGCUGGGGCCUUUGGAAGGGAUUUCUGGGGGGCAGGUUCCAUGACCUGGCCCUGCUUUCCCUCGUCAGCUCCUCUCUGACACCCAGAAAGCUAUGCUCCAGCCAGCUACAUGAGCUGCCAUCUCAGACCUUGCCAACUCCCCUCUCUAGGCAUCUGCACAUGCUGUUCCCUCUGCCCAGAACACCGUCUCCUGCUUUCACCCCACCUUCCCAGGGCACCUUCAACUCAG
ensembl:lncRNA